rnacentral:rRNA from 1 species
UACGGGGGGGGCAAGCGUUGUUCGGAAUCACUGGGCGUAAAGGGUGCGUAGGCGGGUUUUUAAGUCAGGGGUGAAAUCCUGGAGCUCAACUCCAGAACUGCCUUUGAUACUGAAGAUCUUGAGUCCGGGAGAGGUGAGUGGAACUGCGAGUGUAGAGGUGAAAUUCGUAGAUAUUCGCAAGAACACCAGUGGCGAAGGCGGCUCACUGGCCCGGUACUGACGCUGAGGCACGAAAGCGUGGGGAGCAAACAGG